GGUCUGCUGAAGAUCCAUUCUAACCCGGAUCUACACUUGGGAUUCUCCAAGACACACGAGCUUGAAGAUCGAAAGUUGUGAAAUGGCCUCUGGACACUGAUGUACUGAUGUGGACUUGACGCGGAAUGUGACCGUUUCCCCAUUCAUGUUGAUUAUUUGUUGUUUCACUCAAAGUGUAUAACAAUGAAGCAUGUCUUUGUGUA